rnacentral:tRNA from 1 species
GUUUUAAUAGUUUAAUUUAAAAUAAUGAUCUUGUAAAUCAUAGAUAGGCAACCUUUAAAACA